rnacentral:rRNA from 1 species
CGGGGGUACUCGAGCGGCGAACGGGUGAGUAACACGUGAGCAACCUGCCCCUGACUCUGGGAUAAGCCCGGGAAACUGGGUCUAAUACCGGAUACGACCACCGGCCGCAUGGUCUGGUGGUGGAAAGAUUUUUCGGUUGGGGAUGGGCUCGCGGCCUAUCAGCUUGUUGGUGGGGUAGUGGCCUACCAAGGCGACGACGGGUAGCCGGCCUGAGAGGGCGACCGGCCACACUGGGACUGAGACACGGCCCAGACUCCUACGGGAGGCAGCAGUGGGGAAUAUUGCGCAAUGGGCGGAAGCCUGACGCAGCGACGCCGCGUGGGGGAUGACGGCCUUCGGGUUGUAAACCUCUUUCAGCAGGGACGAAGGUGACGUGUACCUGCAGAAGAAGCGCCGGCUAACUACGUGCCAGCAGCCGCGGUAAUACGUAGGGCGCAAGCGUUGUCCGGAAUUAUUGGGCGUAAAGAGCUCGUAGGUGGCUGGUCGCGUCUGCCGUGAAAGCCCGCAGCUUAACUGCGGGUCUGCGGUGGAUACGGGCCGGCUGGAGGUAGGCAGGGGCAAGUGGAAUUCCUGGUGUAGCGGUGAAAUGCGCAGAUAUCAGGAGGAACACCGGUGGCGAAGGCGGCUUGCUGGGCCUUACCUGACGCUGAGGAGCGAAAGCG